UGCCUUCAGGGGAUGGCUCGCCUGCCCCCUCAAAGGCUGGCCCUCUCCCUGCUGACAUUUUGGCUGUUACCCUGAACACUGGGCACUAAUCACAUUUGUCCAAACCCUUCUCCUGAGCUUGGUCAGUAGAAAUGCAUUUAUUGGUCCUUGGGCAGCCCAUAUCUGAGUAAUCAGGGGGCAGAGUCAUUGAGGAACAGCCCACAAAGAAUCUCCAAGGGAUCCCUACAGAGUUCAGCUGGAAUUACUUCCAGAGUCACAGCAGCCACUUCCAGGGGGACUUCCAAGACCACAAAUAAGCCAAAUUGAUCCUGUGUUUCAGGUGACUGAUAGUACUUUGUCUCACUUUGAUUUUCAAGAUGCAGAGACUGUGUACUUAGUAUCCAAUCACUCCUAAAGGAUAACACAUUCCCUUCAUUUGGGGAGGGAAAUCCCAACUUUUCUUUGAAUUAGAAAGAGGAAGAACUUACCACUUCAGGAAAGAAAUAAACUGGAACAUUCUAAUAGAAGGAAGGUUAAAGAGUAAGGAUCAUUUUACCUGCAGCUCCAUAAAAAAA